AGAAAGGAGGGAGGGUGUGAGUGAGAGAAAGAGAAAGAAGUGAAGCCAGGGAGCUCAACACAGCCAGCAUGGCGAGCCAAAGGGACUUCACACACAGAACAACAUGGAUUAAUGUCCUUCUACGACUCCUACAGCUGAUAUUGCCGUACAUUCAACACGGAGAAUCUCAGUUUCAAGCUCUGACUCAGAUGCCCAGCGUGGUUGAAGUUUGGCAGGAGGACGCAGACUUCUUCAUGCCAUCGCAGGCAGAGGAGCAGCACAGUGAGAAUGUUCCUCGAGAGGAGAGUUCCUCGUUUUAUGUGCAGGAGAGUGGGAGACAGCUCCAGUUUCAGCCGCCCACACUGGACUUCGGCCCACAGCCGGUGGGACUGCCAAGAGCUGAAACCGUGAAUAUCCGAAAUCCCAGCCCACAGUUCCCAGUCUCUUUGCUCUCUGUGUUUACAUCCAGCAGACAUUUUCACAUGCCUUCCUUCCACAGAAGGGUAAUUCCACCCGGAGGGAGCGCACUUUUUAAAAUCAUUUUCCUCCCCACUGUGGAGGGCAAUGAAGAAAUCUCUUUAUUUAUUAACACAUCAACCCAUGGGGUGAUAUCAUACCAGGUUUUUGGGGUUGGCGUCCAUGGGGGAUCAGUCAAGGACGUCCAAAGAAAAGAUAACAUUCUGAUAUUUCCCCACAUACAAAGCAUUAAUCUAACACAAACUCAGGAAGAUGCUUCUAAUAUAACAAUUUUAGGUCUGCUGCUUGACUGCAGUUUACCAAAAACGUUCUACAAUCAGCCCCAGGGUUGGUGUUUAGUAUCUGAAGGGGGCAGAAUUGCACUUCAGAUCAGUCUUUCUGAAAGAGGGGAAAGGCCAACUCACCUGGACAAACUCAAGCCAUACGUGCUGGAGAAUAUUGUGGUGCUGCUGGUCCUCCCAUCACCAGAUGCUGACACAGAUCCCAGAAUAGAAGUGUUCAUGUUGAACUCAGGGGUUAAAAAGCUCUUUGUGAAGGAGAUCCAGCUCUUGUCAAAGACGGACAGCAGCGUAGAACUCACUGAACUGCUUCUCCAGCCUUCCACUUCUAACUUCACUCAAGUGGCUUCACUUUUCUGUAGACGCUCUUCGUCAGCAAAAAGUAAAAGGUGUCAAAGUCAGUUCGGCCUGCAGAUAUUAGCAAACAGAACACUGAAUUUAUAUCCACUGCUGGAAAGCACACACAGAUGGUCGGAUUCUGAGCUGAGUUCUUUAGUUCAAGUCAGACAGAAGGAGAGGGGCUCUAAGCAUGUCGAGCUCUGGCUGUCCAACCCAUUCCCCUUCACCUUCAGAAUCACUAACAUCUUUCUUUCCCAGCAUAAACUCUUUAAGAUUGUAAAUUUGACAAAGUCCAUGGAAGUGUUCCCUGGUAGCAGGAAGCUUCUGUCUCUUCAGCUGCUGCGCAAAUCUUUACCCAUCAACCUCAGAACCACAAUUUCUCUGACAACCAGUGUGGGGAUCCCACUGGAGCUUCACCUCCAGACAGAUUCUUCUGCCUUAAAGCAGGGAGAUGUUAUGUUUGAGACUGCUGAGGAGUGUGAACAGCUCUGUCCUCUUCAUAUGUCCCGAGCAGGCCGUUUGGAGUGGCAGCAAUCCCUUCUCCCAGAAUCCUCCUCAUCUCUCUGGAGAGUGGACAGCAGCCUGGCUUCUGCACUCUGUGGUCGCUGGCACUGUAGCAAAGAGCUCUCUUGCAGGUGGCCCAGGCUUCCUGCAGACCACUCUUCACCCCUGGACUUUGGGGCCACACCGGUCAAUGAUAGUAAGGUGAAGAAUUUCACACUGAAAAACCCUACGGGUUCAGUUAUUUCUGUGGAGAUCCGAACCCUCUCCUCAUACCCUGUUCCGCUUGAAGCCCUCGACAUCCUGACCAAAUGGUUUAAUAUUAGCCCGCUGUCCGUGAAUAUCACUACAACAGAGUUUCUGCUGUUGGCAACAAACCAUAAGGAUAGUGAGCGAGGCAGUAUACUUAGAUUCCUGCUUCAGCCGUGGGAGUCGAGGACGGUUUCUGUGGCGUACCAACCCACAGAACACAAGCCUGUUACAUCACUGCUCCUGAUCAGGAACAACCUGACUGUGUUUGACAUGGUUCUGGUUAAAGGAUUUGGGGCAAAGGAGCUCCUGAGGGUGGGAGGGAAGCUUCCCGGGCCUGCAGCCUCACUGCGCUUCAACGUUCCCCAGUCUACUCUCAUGGAGUGCAGAGAUGGUUUACGAUCAAGUAAGCCCUUGUUUGCCAUCCAGAAAAGCUUUAAAGUGGAGAAUGCUGGCGAGUUGCCGUUGACUGUAGUAUCCAUGAACAUUAAUGGAUAUAAAUGUCAGGGUUACGGUUUUGAGGUGCAGCACUGCAGAGGCUUCAGAGUGGAUAACAACUCAUCCUCAGAAAUCACCAUUGCAUUUACUCCAGACUUCACGUCUUCGUGGGUGAUCAGAGACUUGACUCUGGUAACAGAGCGUGGCUCCCUUUUCCACUUCACCCUCAAUGUGACCCUGCCUCAUCACAUGCUGCCCCUGUGUGCUCAGGUGGUACCAGGACCCAGCUGGGAGGAGUCCUUCUGGGUCGUCACACUGGUUUUGACCUGUUCCUCUCUAGCCGGUGUGUGUCUAAUGGCUUUCCAUCAAGCUCAGCACAUUCUGAGCGAGUUCUCCACACCAAGUCCACGUAGCAAUCACAACUCUGUACCUCGUGAAAAUAGCAGUGUCAACCACAGCUCCUCAAAUGGUGUCAGUAGAGGAAAAGGCAGUUGUAAGAACUACACUGACACAAGCCACCCCUCUGACAAAGGCAAGGGGAGAGGAUCUCCAGCUGUGGCCAAUGGGACGAUUCGAUCACAGUCCUCAUCCAAGAAAAGUUCUGGACCUUCUUCCCAGCCUGUAAAGAAGCAGACUAAAGUGUCUUUCCUCUACAGUAGAUAUAAAAAUAGCCCUGCAUCUGCAGCUGCUAGUGUUUCUGCUACCUCUGACUUUAGCAACCCUCCAACCGACGAAGAUAGAGAUCACACCUAUGAGUUAGACCCAGAAGUGUGUAACAACAACAACAACAACAACGACAUCUUUGAUGAAACCCUUCUCCCUGCCGAGAAGAAAGAGCACUUUAGAGAAUCCAUGGAGGACAAGGCUUUGCCAGCUGAUAUGUUUCCUAUGGAAACAGUUCCUAGACUAUCUGAAAACGUCACAGCGGGCAGAGUCCCUCAGCCUGUAGAGGAAGUGAUGGAAGGCGAGGAGUGUAAAAGAAAAAAAAUCAAUGCUGAAAAAAGGGAUUAUGUAGAUGAAGAGAAGCUAGAAAGAGGUGGCGCUCAGAAGAAGAGACCGGAGAAAGAUGCAGAACUUGGAGUGUCUGCCGCCAACACCAAAGCGAAGAAAAACACAGGCAGGAGUCGCAGGAAGCCAGCUGAGCUCAUUCCUGGACUUCCUGAAAACAGUGUUAUCAUGGUGACAGAGAGUGAGAGAGAACCUCCACGUAAUGCUGCCAGAACCCGCAACGUGAAACCUGAACUACCUAAAAUAGGAACCAACCCAGACAGCCCUCUCAAACACAAUGGUGGCACGUGUUUAGUCCGACCGAGGCGUAAGUGUCCAGAGCGACGUCUGCAUUGGGAGUCAGGUUCUGAUUCGAGCAGUUCAUCAGGCAGUGUAAGAGCCAGCCGAGGAUCCUGGGGCAGCUGGAGCAGUGCCAGCAGCAUAGAGGGAGAGAGAGACCCCAACAGACAUCCCUGCAGGAGAGACAACAUCCAGUACCACCCAUAUCCAAAAGAUCGUGAAUGUUACCUGAACAUGAACUAUACAUACAAAACCCAAAGCAUGAACAAUCUGUAUGUCAGGGAACCAUGCCAAAGCCCAGAAGUCUCUCCUGACCCUGUACUUCCUCAGAGCUUCGCUGAUGUUGCUGCAGGUGUGGACAAAAACAUCGGUGAGGGACAUUCACACGUUAUAUCUACCAAGAGGAUCGUAGCGGUUAAGAUGUGCGAUCUUGCGUUUUAUUUAUGCGAUUAUGCAUUUUGCUUUCCACAGAUGCAAUUGGCUCUAAUGUGAUUGAAGAGACAUGGUCAGCCGCCUCCAUUCCCCUGACCAAUGGAUUCAGGUACAACAUGACCGAAUCUCUUCCGUUUGUUCCUCAGAGUCCCCCAUCUGGAUAUGAAGGCUUCCCGUGGAACAACAUGAACAGCCAAUGUACCAGUCAGUAUCCCUAUAGUGAUCAGGCCAACUACAUGCCAACAGGUAACGGCAAUUACCAAAAUGCAUUCUCGUGCCCUGAAAGCCAAACCAUGACCCAGAGCCAUCAGCCAGUCUGGGGAGAGAAUGGAGCUCAUGACAUGAACUCCACAUGGGACACUGCUGGCAGUUGUGUGGGGAGCAAGCCAUACUUUUCAGGAACCAGAAGUCUGUCACCCAUGUCCAGUCUAUUUGGCUCUAUCUGGACACCUCAAAGCGAGCCUUACCAGAACCACUUCCACCCAGAGCGCUCCGCUCCCGUCUCGCCCCACUCGCCCAUCUCACCCGUCGCACCCUUCAGCCGCGAACCAGGCGGCGCCUGCCCAGCAAAACAGUACUCCAGCUUCAAUCCUUUUGGACCACACAUGAAUUUGGACAUAUGGAACUCCUCUUCAAACCGGAGCUCCAACUCUCAGCUCUCCAAUGAUUCAGGCUACUGUGGGGAAAUGUGAGGAAACUCUGCUUUUGAAUAAUGAGGAAUAAAAGAAUGUGCUUUUAUCUCUAAUGGGGGAAAAUGUGAAUAUUCUUCUUUCUUUUAUGUUUGUUGUUGUGGUAAGGUUCAGCAUUUUGUUGUAUAUUUUUCUAGAUGUUUUGCAAGUUUGACCAUUGAAAAUAAAAAAAAAAGUUUUGUAUUUGA